UGCGGAGGGAUCAUUACACAAAUAUGAAGGCGGGCUGGAACCUCUCGGGGUUACAGCCUUGCUGAAUUAUUCACCCUUGUCUUUUGCGUACUUCUUGUUUCCUUGGUGGGUUCGCCCACCACUAGGACAAACAUAAACCUUUUGUAAUUGCAAUCAGCGUCAGUAACAAAUUAAUAAUUACAACUUUCAACAACGGAUCUCUUGGUUCUGGCAUCGAUGAAGAACGCAGCGAAAUGCGAUAAGUAGUGUGAAUUGCAGAAUUCAGUGAAUCAUCGAAUCUUUGAACGCACAUUGCGCCCUUUGGUAUUCCAAAGGGCAUGCCUGUUCGAGCGUCAUUUGUACCCUCAAGCUUUGCUUGGUGUUGGGCGUCUUGUCUCUAGCUUUGCUGGAGACUCGCCUUAAAGUAAUUGGCAGCCGGCCUACUGGUUUCGGAGCGCAGCACAAGUCGCACUCUCUAUCAGCAAAGGUCUAGCAUCCAUUAAGCCUUUUUUUCAACUUUUGACCUCGGAUCAGGUAGGGAUACCCGCUGAACUUAAGCAUAUCAAUAA
rnacentral:rRNA from 1 species